rnacentral:ncRNA from 1 species
GUUUCAGGGCGGGGUGUAACUCCCCACUGGCGGUAUAGCCCGCGACCACGCUGCACCGCAGCGUGCUGACCCGGUGAGACUCCGGGGCCAACGGUAUAGUCCGGAUGUAAGAAA